ensembl:rRNA 5S_rRNA 5S ribosomal RNA
GCUUACGACCACACCGGCCUGAGUAUGCCUGAUCUCGUCUGAUCUCGGAAGCUAAGCAGGGUCGGGCCUGGUUAGUACUUGGAUGGGAGACUUCCUGGGAAUACCAGGUGCUGUAAGCU